rnacentral:rRNA from 1 species
UACGGCGAGUGAAGCGGCAAAAGCUCAAAUUUGAAAUCGGCCAUCAGGUCGAGUUGUAAUUUGUAGAUUGUACUUUGAGAGCGGAUUAAAGUCUGUUGGAACACAGCGCCUUAGAGGGUGACAGCCCCGUAAAAUCUAUUCUCAUUGUAAGGUACUUUCGAAGAGUCGAGUUGUUUGGGAAUGCAGCUCUAAGUGGGAGGUAAAUUCCUUCUAAAGCUAAAUAUUGACGAGAGACCGAUAGCGAACAAGUACUGUGAAGGAAAGAUGAAAAGCACUUUGAAAAGAGAGUGAAAAAGUACGUGAAAUUGUUAAAAGGGAAGGGUAUUGAAUCAGACGUGGUGCUGUUGUUCAACUUUGUUUCGGCAUGGUGUACUCAGCAGUACUAGGCCAAGGUGGGGUGUUUGGGAGUGAAAAAGGAAUAGGAACGUAGCUCUUCGGAGUGUUAUAACCUAUUUUCAUAGCUCCUCAGGCGCCUCAGGACUGCGCUUCGGCAAGGACUUUGGCAUAAUGAUUCUAUACCGCCCGUCUUGAACNNCGGGA